rnacentral:lncRNA from 1 species
AAUCUAUUACUAGCAUUUAAGGUGGGAGAGCCAAAUUAAAGGACGGGGUGAUCGAAUAGAGCUCCCAUUCAUCUACAGGAAGCAGCAGGUCCACUGCACCCAUAAAGUCACAACACAUCUUUCCAGCUUGCAUCCAGUGAUGUAUAGUGAUCACAAAGCCUUCUAAAAUGGACUACGAGAUUAUGGAUUUGAUCCAUGAUGCAACUGAUCUUUCUACCAUCAAGCAGUCUGUGUUAGCGUAUCACAUAAAGCAAUUAAAGAACCAUUUAAUCAAAGACUUCAAAGUGUGAAGCCUGAAUUUAUGACUUGCCAUUUGUUUACUGUAUUAUUCUAAUACCAGAUCAGUCAGCCUUCAACAGCAAUAUAAUAAAACUGUCCAUGGGACCCA